CCAAACUUGGUCAUUUAGAGGAAGUAAAAGUCGUAACAAGGUUUCCGUAGGUGAACCUGCGGAGGGAUCAUUACAGAGUUCAUGCCCUCACGGGUAGAUCUCCCACCCUUGCGUAUUUAUACCUUUGUUGCUUUGGCAGGCCGCCUGGGCUCAUGCCUGGCCACCGGCUCCCGGGCUGGUGCGUUGCCUGCCAGAGGAUCUCCAAACUCUAGUUAUCAGUGUUGUCUGAGUACUAUACAAUAGUUAAAACUUUCAACAACGGAUCUCUUGGCUCUCGCAUCGAUGAAGAACGCAGC
rnacentral:misc_RNA from 1 species